AAUAGGAUCGACGGUGGCAAGGCAACGAAGCCGAUGCCAGGCGGCGGAAGAUGCGAGGGAGAGGAUGAAGAUGAAAAGGUUGUUGGGGAGGUGAGUCUGGCAGACAGUGAAGAAUGUGCGUGAGAGAGAGAGCGAGAGAGAAAGAGAGAGGGAGGGAGAUGGGAGAGGGUAAGAGGGAGUCGAGUAGGUAAGGGGAAGAUGUAAAUUGUCUGUAAAGAGGAAUAGGAGGAAGCAUGCGGCGGGUCCCACAUGUGAUUUGCAAAUAUUUUCUAACACUGUAGCGGGCCACACAUAGAGUAAAUGCGGAGAGCGUUUCAAGUUGCCAAAUUAUAAGUUUAUACUUAGGCCAAUUUCUCUGUCAAUAUCCUCUUUUUCACUUACCCCUCUGUCAUUCAAAAAUAUACACUUUGCCCCCUUAAAAAAUAAAAAAUAUUUACUUUGACCCUCACCGUUAAUGUUCCGUUAGGAUUCUGUUUUAUAUCCUAUUUUUUACACCCAAAAUACUUCUGAAACCCUUCUCCUUCCUCAUCCUCAGCUGCACCACCUCGCUCUCGCCUAUCUCUCUGUCCAUGCCCACACACACUCCCUCGUCUGCCUCCGUCGCCUCACCCUCACCCUCGCCCUUGCCUAUCUCUCCGUCCACGCCAACGCCAAAGAAGAUGAGGGACAAUUUGAUCAUUUUGCCACAACGUACCCUCCUAUGAACAAUUUUUAUUUUUUAAGGGGUAAAGAGUAUAGGUUUUUAAAUAACAUGAAAAAAAAAGGGAAAAAAAGGGUAUUGACAGAAAAUUUUCAGUACUUUAAUCUUAUACUU
rnacentral:lncRNA from 1 species